AACACUCAUCACGAAGAGACGCGACCUGACUUGCCCGGCGGUCAGCUUUAAACUAAAACAGAGCAUGGAAUAUGAUUUGUUUACCAAGAUCUGAUUGCAGCUACUAUAGGCAUUACUUAGAAAAUGACACAUCCUGAUAGACUGGGACUAUAUAACUCUAUUCCUACGAAGCACACAUAUACAUAUAUAUAGAUAAAUUUGUUAUAUAUUUUGCGAUAAAAGUUUCCGAAAUGAAGUUGAAAUGAAUUCCACUUUUCUUGAACAUGAA